GGAGGGGUGGCUGAGCGGUUGAAAGCACCGGUCUUGAAAACCGGCGAGGUUUAACGACCUCCGUGGGUUCGAAUCCCACCCCCUCCG
rnacentral:tRNA from 1 species